UACGGAGGGUGCGAGCGUUGUCCGGAAUUACUGGGCGUAAAGCGCGCGCAGGCGGUCUUCCAAGUCAGUGGUGAAAGCCCGGAGCUCAACUCCGGAACUGCCAUUGAAACUGUGAGACUUGAGUACGAGAGAGGUGAGUGGAAUUCCCAGUGUAGAGGUGAAAUUCGUAGAUAUUGGGAAGAACACCGGUGGCGAAGGCGGCUCACUGGCUCGUAACUGACGCUCAGGCGCGACAGCGUGGGGAUCAAACAGG
rnacentral:rRNA from 1 species